GUCUGCCGGCAAAAAAGGGUAUCACUAUAUUCGGGAAGACAUAUUCUACAACCCUAUUAAGUUUCAUCAAAAUUGGUGAACUCCACUUGGGGACCUCUCCUUAUUAACAAAUAAUUUGUCCUUAAGGAAAGAUUGAAAGUUUAGCAUUCACUAUAUUUGAGAUACUGGGGUCAGAAUUUGUGACAUGCGUAUACAUCAUUUCUAGUUACAGCAUAAUACUCAUUUCUUCCAAUAUUGUUUAUUAUUUUAUAUUCUAAUAUUUAUUUCCUAAUUAUAUUGGUAUUUAUUAAACCUUAACUUAUUUUAACUUAAAAACUAUUUACCUGUGGAUCUGAUUGUGCUCUAUAUAUGUAGUUGAAAGUUUGACUUUUGAAAUGAUUAUACAAGUAGUCAACUUAAAUAGUGAUGUAAUCAGUUAAUUUUAUGAGUGAUCAAUGCAGUUCCAUGGUUCAAAUCUCUGACCUAAUAGUCUGAUAUACAAGUAUACUAAAAAAUUUCUUGACUGACCAUUAUUUGGUGACGUACAGUGAAUUUCAAUUUUCUGAAGCUUCAUAAUGUGAAGAAAUUUAGAACUUCAUAACAUGGAUUUCAAUGUUCUUGAUAUUGUUAUCAGGCUAUAGAUGUUGACACUGCACAGCUGUUAGUAUGUCAUUAGACUUGCGAUUGUUUGGCAGCAAGGGUAGUUUAUGUAAAUCAUUGUACAUAGGAAAAUUUUCAACUGCUAACUAAUAUUUCUGAAGCAUUUAUCCCACUUAAGAGAGCACUAUGCCCCCACAAUGUAUUCUUCAUACACUUGUUAUAUAAUAUUUUCAAUGUUUCAUGUGCAUUUUUGGUUUAUUUCUAACAAAAUUUAUGUUGUCACAUUGUUCAAACUAAGACAUUGUUUUUUUUUUCUCCUAUAGCUCUGCAUUGAUUCAAAUAGUGCCCUUGCUGCCAAACAACUGCUAGUCUACUGAUGUCCUGUUGGCUAACAGUGUUAACACCUAUGCCUGAUGAUAGUGUCAUGCAUAAUUGAUUGCAUUAAAGGUUUUCACUUUUCCGGAAGGAGUUUGGCUAUAAAUUCAGAUGUAUAUAAUGCCGGCACUAUCAAGCAGACGUUCUUUUUCAGCAAAAUUUAUUUUAUUACUGGAAGCGCUUUUGGUGAUAACGCCAUCAUCAGCCAUUACAAUCUAUAUUCGAACAGUGAAUUUAUU
rnacentral:lncRNA from 1 species